CCUACGGGAGGCAGCAGUAGGGAAUCUUCGGCAAUGGACGGAAGUCUGACCGAGCAACGCCGCGUGAGUGAAGAAGGUUUUCGGAUCGUAAAGCUCUGUUGUAAGAGAAGAAUGAGUGUGAGAGUGGAAAGUUCACACUGUGACGGUAUCUUACCAGAAAGGGACGGCUAACUACGUGCCAGCAGCCGCGGUAAUACGUAGGUCCCGAGCGUUGUCCGGAUUUAUUGGGCGUAAAGCGAGCGCAGGCGGUUAGAUAAGUCUGAAGUUAAAGGCUGUGGCUUAACCAUAGUACGCUUUGGAAACUGUUUAACUUGAGUGCAAGAGGGGAGAGUGGAAUUCCAUGUGUAGCGGUGAAAUGCGUAGAUAUAUGGAGGAACACCGGUGGCGAAAGCGGCUCUCUGGCUUGUAACUGACGCUGAGGCUCGAAAGCGUGGGGAGCAAACAGGAUUAGAUACCCUGGUAGUC
rnacentral:rRNA from 1 species